AAAAAUUUAGUUAAUAUAUAACAUUAGUUUGUCAAACUAAAAUAAUUUUUUUAAAAAUAAUUUUUA
rnacentral:tRNA from 1 species